rnacentral:lncRNA from 1 species
ACUCUUUGUUUAGUAGAGCUAUAUGGUUUUGAACUUCAAAUUUUCUAGACCUGGAGCUCCUGGACACAAAGACAAACAUCAUUAGAGAUUAGAGUGUACACAUGCUAGGUCUAGCAUUGGUUAAAAAUAACUAAUAAUCACAUGACGAAUCUGAAUGCAGCAUAUAAAAAGAACUAGUUCAUUUCAUCAGUAUGAGAUCUAACUGUUUGCCACCUGGUAGAUAACCUGCCAGGGAGGCCUUGAUAUAAACAGGAGUACGUGUGAAUAUAUGUGUUCACAGGCUUGAAUACAUCUCCAGGAACUGUAAGUACAGAACAUGUAACAUGGUGGCUACAUAAACAGAACGAGAUGUGGCAUGCUUAAAAGCUCGAGCCCGUGCUAUGCCUAUAUAUAAUCAGGUGCAGCUUAAAUAUACGUGGGCACAUACUGAAAGGAACAAGAUAGCAUGAUGAUAUCCGAUCGACUAGAUUUGGGAGAAACGUGAUCGAGCCAACACAAAAAAGAAAUAGAGCAAGAUUUGAGCUGCACCUGCAGAGUGUUACUUAUGGUGGAACUGCAGGAGACUUGCUCGGAUUUAGUCAACACGAAUUGUAAGUGUAAAGCAGAUCAUCUUGGCUAUUACACACAAAAAGAAAAGACAAUGUGUUUUUUAGACUGCAUGGUCAACAACAACAACAAAUGUACAGAAUGUUUAGGUACACAAGCAUGCGUAGCAAGCAUUAAAAGUUCAAUCUGUUUGGUGGAAGGCACCAUUGAUCUCGUUCUCACAGCCAUACUUAUACACACACAUGCAGUUUUAAUUAAUUAAAUGAGCAGGCAACAAAGGCAAUUACAAAUCUAGGGGCAGGAGGUAGUGAGAGCGACUCAAAUAUACACUACUAGAGGGAUCGUCAAGAUGUAGGGGAUGGAGGUGUCUCACUUGGUUUCAAAAUAAGAUGCACAUAAAGACAACCACAUAAAUAUAGCAGUGCAUAGUACUAAGGAAACAGGGACAUCUCUUUGCCAACAUGUAUAAUUCGGAGCAGCAAUAGCAAGCAAAGGAAGAUGAGAGGGAGAUGGAGAGGCUCAAUGAUACGCUUCUCCUACGGAGCAAACCCAGCAACCUCCGUGAUGAAGUUCCUGACGAAAUGCACCCUGUUGGUACCUUUCUGCAAACCAAAAUGGUAACCGGUCAGAACAAUGAGAAUGAAAAACUUAUACAGGAGUAAACAUCACAAUAAUAUGAAUUCUUACUACCACACAGGAUCUAUUGCACUUGAGAAUGAAG